GCUUCCCCCCUCCCCGCCCCGACCUGACCCUUCUGCAGAGUUUCCAUCAGAAGUCUGAAUGUGGGAGACUCCCAGCCUGAACCCCCACAGGGAGUACCUGCUGUUUCCUUAAGGGAGCCCAGAAAAUCAGGAGAUGGCAGCUGUGCCCAAAAUGAAGAUAUCCAAGUCUCAGAUAGCAGCUGCGAAGGGGCAGCUAAAAGGGAGUUGGAGAGCCCACAUCCUGAGUACACAGCCCAGAGAAGAACAGGCUCAGGCUCAAAGAAAAACCUGGCAUGUACCUUUCCCACCAUGGACUAUCUCAGAGCUGGCCCUCUACAGAAGGGAGGAGGGAAUUAAUGGAUGCAUCUGGAUUCCUGUCAGAGAGGACUCUACAGGGAUGUAAUGCUGGAAAAUUGUGGGAACAUGGUCACUCUGGAUUCUGAGAUCUGGACCAAAAAUAAACAGUCAAAUGAAAAAGAGGGAAUUUUAGAAGUGGAACCACAUGGAAUAAUAGAAAUAUGCCUAAGGACUAUUCCUCCUGAACCUGGUUUUGGAAGAGUGUGUGAACCUGAGAGAUUAGAAAAUCACCAAGGAAAUACCACAGAGGAAAUUUUAAGACAGUUCCUUUUCCAGGAGAGAGGUUUCAGUGAAGUCAUGGUGACUCUUAAGAAAACUUCCACAGGAAGAUGCUUCCAAGAAUUAAGUGAAUUUAGGAAAACUUUUUGCUAAACACAAAUCUUGCUAUUGGUCAAAGAAAUACUACAAGGGGGGGGACCUAUAAAUGUGAAAUCUGUGGCAAAAGCUACAUACACAAUUCAACCAUUGCUUUUAAUCAAAUAAUUAAUACUGGAGAGAAUCUCCCCAAGUGUAAUGAACGUGGGAUAAAUUUCAACCAGAGUUCAUACUUUAGGGGAGACCAAGAAAAUCACACUGAAAAGAAAACCUAUAGUUGUGUUAAAUGUGGUAAAGCUAUUAUUCUGACCUCAACUCAGUCGACAUCAAAGAUUUCAUACUGGAGAGAAGCUAUUUAAAUGUAGUGAAUGUGGAAAAUCCUUCCAUUUGAGUUCACAAUUUCUUUAACAUCAAAGAACUCACACUGGAGAGAAACCCUAUGGGUGUGAUGAAUGUGGAUAAGCCUUUAAUCAAAACUCACAGCUUAUUUGACACCAGAAAGUUCACACUGGAGAGAGUCCUUGUAAGUGUCAUCAUUGUAAGAAAGCCUUCAGCCAGAGUUCAACCCUUGUUCAACAUCAAAAAACUCAUAUUUAUGUUAAAUCACAGCAGUGUAAUGAGAAUGAAGAUUUUUUUGUAGGCCACAUUUUAAGCCUCAAAGAAAUUAUACCAGAGGGAAAAUGCCUGAAUGUAACAAAUGUGGGAAAACUUUCAAGUGGAGCUCACAUCUUAUUCAAUGUCAGUUAAUUCACCUGGAGAAAAACCUUUUCAAUGUAACAUGUUUGAAAGCCUUCAGUUGCAGCUCAUGCCUUAUUCUCCAUCAAAGAACUCACACAGGGGAGAAGCCAUUUAAAUGUGAUGAGUAUGGAAAAGAUUUUGUUCAGCGCGCACAUCUUAUUCAACUUUGGAGAAUCUAUACUGGAGAGAAACCUUAUGGAUGUGAUAAAUGUGGGAAAGCGUUCACUCACAAUUCAAGUCUUAUUCAUCAUCAGAGAAUUCAUCCUGGAGAGAAACCCUUUGGAUGUCAUGAAUAUGAAAAAACUU